GGGCUGCGGGUUGCGUCGCCGGGCAUGG
rnacentral:piRNA from 1 species